ACGGGCGUAGUUCAAUGGUAGAAUGUCGGUCUCCAACACCGCUGAUGAGGGUUCGAAUCCUUCCGCCCGUG
rnacentral:tRNA from 1 species